ensembl:snoRNA small nucleolar RNA SNORD49
UACCGUGAUGAAACUGUGGAAUAGGAAGUGCCGUCAGAUGCGACAACUGACGAUGUGCAAUCCACUGCUGAGU